rnacentral:rRNA from 1 species
GAAUUAUUUAUAAGCUGAGCCAACUACUGAAUAUGUAAUGCACUUAUCAAAUUCCAAAUACAACUGCACAAAAGAGUGUCCGUACUCAGCAUUACAGUCAUACAGUGGUAUACGGCCAAUAAUUUCAUAGAUCUGCCACUACUUACAGACAAACAAUGACAUGUAAUGUAAGUCAUGAAAUUUGCAUCCUGCUUGCAGUAGUGCAAUACUGGAAAGUGAAAAGCAUAGAAACAUACCGAUGACUGUCAACUUAAGAGCACUUGUGGUGGUAAUUCCAGGCGAGGAGCUACCAUCUACCACUUCAGAU